rnacentral:rRNA from 1 species
GAUGGACGCUGGCGGCGUGCCUAAUACAUGCAAGUCGAGCGAACGGACGAGAAGCUUGCUUCUCUGAUGUUAGCGGCGGACGGGUGAGUAACACGUGGAUAACCUACCUAUAAGACUGGGAUAACUUCGGGAAACCGGAGCUAAUACCGGAUGAUAUUUUGAACCGCAUGGUUCAAAAGUGAAAGACGGUCUUGCUGUCACUUAUAGAUGGAUCCGCGCUGCAUUAGCUAGUUGGUAAGGUAACGGCUUACCAAGGCAACGAUGCAUAGCCGACCUGAGAGGGUGAUCGGCCACACUGGAACUGAGACACGGUCCAGACUCCUACGGGAGGCAGCAGUAGGGAAUCUUCCGCAAUGGGCGAAAGCCUGACGGAGCAACGCCGCGCGAGUGAUGAAGGUCUUCGGAUCGUAAAACUCUGUUAUUAGGGAAGAACAUAUGUGUAAGUAACUGUGCACAUCUUGACGGUACCUAAUCAGAAAGCCACGGCUAACUACGUG